GAUGAACGCUGGCGGCGUGCUUAAUACAUGCAAGUCGAACGAGAGUACCUUGUAGCAAUACGGGGCGCUCUAGUGGCGAAUGGGUGCGUAACACGUAGGUGACCUGCCCCGAAGUGUGGAAUAACAGUUCGAAAGGACUGCUAAUACCGCAUGUGGUCCUGGAGGUUAGAGGCUCCGGGUCUAAAGCUGCUCGCAAGAGUGGCGCUUCGGGAGGGGCCUGCGGCCCANCAGGUAGUUGGUAGGGUAACGGCCUACCAAGCCAUCGACGGGUAGGGGAUCUGAGAGGAUGGUCCCCCACACUGGCACUGACACACGGGCCGAGACUCCUACGGGAGGGCAGCAGUAAGGGAAUAUUGCACAAUGGGCGAAAGACCUGAUGCAGCAACGCCGCGUGCGCGAUGAAGGCCUUCGG
rnacentral:rRNA from 1 species